UACGGAGGGAGCUAGCGUUAUUCGGAAUUACUGGGCGUAAAGCGCACGUAGGCGGCUUUGUAAGUUAGAGGUGAAAGCCUGGAGCUCAACUCCAGAAUUGCCUUUAAGACUGCAUCGCUUGAAUCCAGGAGAGGUGAGUGGAAUUCCGAGUGUAGAGGUGAAAUUCGUAGAUAUUCGGAAGAACACCAAUUGCGAAGGCAGCUUACUACACAGUUAUUGACGCUGAGGCACGAAAGCGUGGGGAUCAAACAGG
rnacentral:rRNA from 1 species